GCUCACCAUGCCUUGUCUCACCAUCCAGUCACUGAGGCUUUUCCCGCAGCCGCCUCCCAUCUGGGUGAGAGAGAGUCACGCUGAUGGCGGAGGGACGGCAGCGCCAGGGCCACUGGAGGGCGCGGCUUCUAACAGGGGUGCGCCUUUCGGGUCAGGAGGCCUGCUGCCACUUUGGGAGGCGUGUGUGUGUAGGGGUGUGUGUAGGUGUGUAAGGGUGUGUAUGUAGGUGUAUGAGUGUAGGUGUGUGUGUAGGUGUAUGAGUGUAGGUUUGUAUGUGUAGGUGUAGGUUGUGUAGGUAUAGAUGUAUGUGGUGUGUGUAGGUGGUGUGUGUAGAUGUGUGUGGUGUGUGUAGGGGUGUGUGUGCAGGUGUGUAGGUGUAUGAGUGUGUAGGGGUGGUAUAUGCAGGGGUGUGUAUGUAGGUGUAUGAAUGUAGGUGUGUAUGUGUAGGUGUAGGUGUGGGUAGGUGUAGGUGUGUGGUGUGUGUAGGUGUGUAUGUGUAGGUGUAGGGGUGUGUGUGUAGGUGUGGUGGGUGUAGAUGUGUGUGUGGUGUGUGUGUAGGUGUGGUGUGUGUAGGUGUGUGUGGUGGGUGUAGAUGUGUGUGUGGUGUGUGUAGGUGUAUGAGUGUGUAGGUGUGAUGUGUGUAGGGGUGUGUGUAGGUGUAUGAAUGUGUGUGUGUAGGUGUGUGUGGUGGGUGUAGAUAUGUGUGUGUGGUGUGUGUAGGGCUGUGUGUGUAGGUUUAUGAGUGGAGGUGUGUGUGGAGGUGUGUGGUGGGUGUAGAUGUGUGUGGUGUGUGUGUGGGGGUGUGUAGGUGUAUGGGUGUGUAGGUGUGGUGUGUAGGGCUGUGUGUGUAGGUGUAUGAGUGGAGGUGUGUGGAGGUGUGUGUGGUGGGUGUAGAUGUGUGUGUGGUGUGUGUAGGGGUGUGUGUGUAGGCGUAUGAGUGGAGGUGUGGUGUGUGUAGGUGUGGUGUGUGGAGGUGUGUGUGGUGGGUGUAGAUGUGUGUGUGUGGUGUGUGUGGGUGUGUGUGGUGUAUGGGUGUGUAGGUGUGGUGUGUGUAGGGCUGUGUGUAGGUGUAUGAGUGGAGGUGUGGUGUGUGGAGGUGUGUGUGGUGGGUGUAGAUGUGUGUGUGGUGUGGGGGUGUGUAGGUGUAUGAGUGUGUAGGUGUGGUGUGUGUAGGGGUGUGUGUAGGUGUAUGAGUGGAGGUAUGACGUGUGGAGGUGUGUGUGGUGGGUGUAGAUGUGUGUGUGGUGUGUGUAGGGGUGUGUGUAGGUGCAUGAGUGUGUAGGUGUGGUGUGUGUGUAGGGGUGUCUGUGUAGGUGUAUGAGUGUAGGUGUGUGUGGAGGUGUGUGUGGUGGGUGUAGAUGUGUGUGUGGUGUGUGUGUAGGUCUAUGGGUGGAGGUGUGGUGUGUGGAGGUGUGUGUGGUGGAUGUGGCGGCUGGUGUAGAGGGAUGAGGCAGGUAUUGUGGUACCCACCGGGGGGUGAGCCACAACAGCUCUGGGAUGCCAGCGCCCUGGGUAGGCUGAGGCAGAGCUGACAGCAAACUAAACAAAGCUUCUCAACUCUCUCCACAAGGAUCCCAGAGGCUGGGCCUCAGCAACCCCAGGAUAGCAGGGCAGGCGGCUGUCAGAUGGUCUGGGGGCUCCCAGUAGGGUCUGACAGGCACCCAGGUUUUAGAAACAUCAGUUUAUCCAACCUUCUCACAUUCAUCCAUGGCACACAUGCAGUUUCCUAGGGCCCCAGAGUGGAGGGAGACGAGAGUCCUGCUCCCAGCCCGUCACCCUGUGCCUGGCUGGUUCACCCUACUCAGACCAGCAUGGGGCCUGGCACAUGGCACAGGGCACACAGCAGGCAUGUCAGGGAGUGAAGGAACUAAAACCUGGCACACAGCAUGCAAUACCACCUCGUCACACGACUUGUGAGUCCUGCUCUGAAUCCCAGGGCGCAAACCUGGGCUGCGCACAAUUGGCACUUGAUUCUGUUUCUUUUUUUUUGAGAUACAGUCUUACUAUGUUGCCCAGGCUGGAGUGCAGUGGUACAGUCAUAGCUCACGAUAACCUCAAACUCCUGGGUUUAAGUGAUCCUCCCGCUUCAGCCUCCCAAGUAGCUGGCACUACAGGUACCUGCCACCGCGCCUGGUUUUGAUGCUGUUUUGUACUCUGCUCUUGGGAAUCAUGUUCUCACGGUUUAGUGGGUGAAGGCCUUACCACCAGCCAAACUCCAGCACCCCAGGAGCAGGCAUUUGCUCACAGAGUUUUAAGAAAUCAUACCCUGAUUUGGCAGAAGUGGCUUAAAUCUCCCAGGUUAUCGGAGAUAAAUCAGUGAUAACCGGUUUAUCAGCUUCUCUUUGCUGCCAGUGGAGUUGUGUGGUGCGUUUCCUCCCUGUGGGCGGGCUGCAAGGUAGUGUGGGAGCCAGGACACCUGGGCUCUAGUUUUAGUCACGCCUGAAUUGCUGUGUGCCCCUAGGGAAGUGAACCCUGUCUCUGGGCUGCAGCAGGAGCAGAUUGGCUGGGAUUGCUGCCCACUGGGUGGUGGAGUCAACCUCUGACCACGAGAGGCCAGGUGGCCUGAGAGGGGAGCUCCUACAGCAGGCUCGCGGUGUGUUGGUUCCGAUGAAUCCCGACACACUGGAAGCCUGAGGCUGAGGAGGGAGACACACACCUCCACUCACUCUCCUUUGCACCUUAGGGCUUUUCACAGCUCUAAGGUUACCAGCAUGGCUUAGAAGCCAGGCAGAACAAUACCUACGAGACCCUAGGCAGGGUAUCUCCCUGUCCUCAGCCUCAGUUUUCUCAUCUGUAAAUGGGAUGAGGACAUGGCGGUACUGCGAAGCGUAAGUGCCGUAAUACCGUAGUGUGUGCCAGGCACCAUACCGAGGACAGUACACCUGUGGUUUCACUUAAGCUCUUCCUGGAACUCAGUUUUCUCAUCUGUAAAACGGGAUAAUAACAUACCCUAAGGGUUUCUGUGAUGACUCACUAAGAGAGGGGAUGCAAAGUGCUUAGUGCAGGCCUGGCCCGGAGCACAGGCUCAGCAAAUGAUGGCUUACACCCGAAAAAGGACUGGAGUCUCUGACUGGUGUGUGCGGUGGAUGUGACACGGGUGUGCAAUGUGCUGUGCUUGGUGGCAGGUCACACACCACACAUGGGAGGUACUGGAUUCUCUUGUUGCCCACUGGGUGGUAGAGUCAACCUCUGUCCACGAGAGGCCCAGAUGGCCCACCCCAGCGUCCUCCACCUUGCCCUGUUCUGACUUGGGAAUGGCUCCUGAGAUGCUGGGAGACCCAGGAGCGGAGAGAGUGCCCUUGGGGGUCACGAAGACUUUGCCCACAGUGGACUGGCCUGGACGGUUUCCACAACUCGUCCCUCCCUGCUUUCCUUCUUUUCUUGAGACAGGGUCUUACUCCAUUGCCCAGGCUGGAGUGUCGUAGUGCAAUCUCAGCUCACCACAACCUCCACCUCCUGUGCUCAAGCGAUCCUCCCACCUCAGCCUCCUGAGUAGCUGGGACUAAAGGUGUGCGCCACCAUGCCCGGAUAAUUUUUAAAUAUUUUGUAGAGAUGGGGUUUCCCCAUGUUGCCCAGGUUGGUCUUGAACUCCUGACCUCAAGUGAUCUGCCCACCUCGGCCUCCUAAAGUGCUGGGAUUCCAGGUGUGAGCCACUGUGCCCGGCCCUCCCUGCUUUCCUAGCUCCAUCCUGAUCUUUCAGAUUGGAAGUCAAGUCCCUCCUGUGCUCAAGACUUCCCCGCGGCCUCCACCUCACUUAGGAUGCAAUCUGCAGCGCUCCUAGCCGCGCUGAGGUCCUCUGGUCCCUGCUAUAUACCCAUAGAGCUUCACUUCCUACCCCCAACCCCAUGCUAGCCUCAGAAGUCCCCAUGCUGCCUUGAGCCUCCUCUAGCCUCCUCGGCCCCAGGUCCACCACCCUCACUCCCCCGGACUCCCUGGACUCCCAGGUCCGGCUGUUUCUAACUGUCUCCCAUGGGACCUGCUCUGUCUGCUCACUUGCUGGAGCAGAAAUUCUCACACUGCCUGAAAAGCAUCCAGAUACACGUUGACAUGCAUGAGAGAAUGGUGCUUGGAGGUCUUGCCAAAGCGUGUGGGGGUCACCCACAAAAUGUGCUCGGUGCUGGACAAGUGGCUGUCACUCAACACACAGUCAAGGAACUAAACGGAAUUCAAAGAGCACCCUCGCAUUUCUCCCCGCUGCUUUAGGGUCCGCUCUUUUUUUUUUUUUUGAGACGGAGUCUCGCUCUGUCGCCCAGGUUGGAGUGCAGUGGCGGGAUCUCGGCUCACUGCAAGCUCCGCCUCCUGGGUUCACG
rnacentral:lncRNA from 10 species